UACGAAGGGGGCUAGCGUUGUUCGGAUUUACUGGGCGUAAAGCGCACGUAGGCGGAUCGAUCAGUCAGGGGUGAAAUCCUGGAGCUCAACUCCAGAACUGCCUUUGAUACUGAAGAUCUUGAGUUCGGGAGAGGUGAGUGGAACUGCGAGUGUAGAGGUGAAAUUCGUAGAUAUUCGCAAGAACACCAGUGGCGAAGGCGGCUCACUGGCCCGAUACUGACGCUGAGGCACGAAAGCGUGGGGAGCAAACAGG
rnacentral:rRNA from 1 species